rnacentral:other from 1 species
CACUCCCUGGGGUGCUUGCCAGUUGGUGAUGUCCCUGAGCCGAUACGCACAACCAUGGAGGUUGCACGUUGGGCCGGUGUGCAUGUCCGCUUGACGGAAAGCCUUAACGCCCCCUGCAACUUCCACCUUGAACUUUCGGGUUCAAGGGCUAAGCCGACAGCGGUUCAUCCGGGGAGCCU